GAAGGUGUGUCGUGAGGCAUGCUGGAGGUAUCAGAAGUGCGAAUGCUGACAUAAGUAACGAUAAAGCGGGUGAAAAGCCCGCUCGCCGGAAGACCAAGGGUUCCUGUCCAACGUUAAUCGGGGCAGGGUGAGUCGACCCCUAAGGCGAGGCCGAAAGGCGUAGUCGAUGGGAAACGGGUUAAUAUUCCCGUACUUGGUGUUACUGCGAAGGGGGGACGGAGAAGGCUAUGUUGGCCGGGCGACGGUUGUCCCGGUUUAAGCGUGUAGGUGUGUGUUCCAGGUAAAUCCGGUUCACUUUAACACUGAGGCGUGACGACGAGGCACUACGGUGCUGAAGCAACAAAUGCCCUGCUUCCAGGAAAAGCCUCUAAGCAUCAGGUAACACGAAAUCGUACCCCAAACCGACACAGGUGGUCAGGUAGAGAAU
rnacentral:rRNA from 1 species